GAUCGUUUAAUUAACCUUUGAAUUUUUGUCCUUUUUAUUUAGCUUCUGCUAAAACUUGGUUCUGCUAAAGAUGUAGUAGCUCAGAGCAAAGAUUUUCUAACAUCACAAGUUGUGAUAUCUAUUUUUAUUUUUAUUUCUUUUUAUUUUUUCCAUGUAGAUGAUUUUUUUUUGUAAAUUAAUUUAAAGCAAAGUAAUCAUGGUGGAAAAUUCAGUCAUUAUAAUUUAAUAUCAGUUGUUGAGUAUCUAAAUUUCUUUUUUCAAUUUUUUUUCUGGAAAUGUAUAAUAAUUAUACAUUUCCAGAAAAAACUUAAUACCUAUACAUUUCCAGAAAAAACUGAAAAAAGAAAUUUAGAUAUUCAACAACUGAAAUGAAGCUAAUUAAUUAAUUAUUUAUUACAUCCAAAAUUCGCUGUACAGCGGUCAAUGCAUUUCAUUGAAUAUCGUUGAAUCUUAUGUAUCUAGUUUAAUUUGGAAUCACAAUCUCUGAUAUGGCCAUGGAAAAUUGUCAACAAAUCCGUUAGAAAAUAACUACUGAAAAAGGAACAAAUUCACCACAAGUAUAGAAUACUUCAAGAGCUUCAUGUGUUUUGUGCAAGAUAAGUGAAUGUCCGAUA